GCCGGCGGCGGUUGGGGCCGCUUACGGGCGCAGUCGUUCCCGUCUGCGGGAGGAUUCGGAGCACGAGGGACAGAAAAGACGUAUCUCCACGAGGGAGGAUUAGUCGCCUUAAAUGAAAAUAAUAGCACCAAAAAAUUGCGCGGUCCGCGGGGCAGAAGUGGAGACCUGGAGAAUAAGGUCUUUCCAGAAGAUUCCAAGCUCUGAGCUGUGGCUGUGGGAAGCAGAGCAACAGUUCUGGUAAUGACCCGGAGCCUGGAGAGGUGCUUCUGCCUCCUGAGGGUUGUCUGUCUCCCGCGGCUUUAGCAGAUGAACGUUUGGUUUCCUUAUUUCUGUGAGAAAAGUCUGACACGUUACAAACAGUGUUCAAUUACAGUCAGAUUCAUCUCAUAGUCCCUCCAUUUGGUUAUGAACUUGGAAACUGAAAUACGAUGCUACGUAUUUAGUCCAUUAGCAUACGUGAAUUCAAACAACUCGGGAGAAAUCCUCGUGUUCAGGAAGAGCCGAUAGUCACCAUUGAAAUACUCAUUGCUGUACAUCACGUGGAGCUGCCAGAGUCCUGUGUAACACUGGAUGAACUUUCUCUGAUGUUUCUGUAAAAAUGAGGUGCUUUUUCAGAUGCUUGUCAACCUACGCUGUUGAGCUUGUAGCAAAAAUUUGCUGUGUGCAUCCAGAUAAAUUGUGUAUGUGGAAUGGAUUCAGCAGUGAUCCUCUGCAAUUAAUUUGUACAUGGACAAAUUGCUACCACUAUUGCUACCACAAGGAGUAUGAUGCAUCACAGCUCCUUUCUGUGAACGUGCGUGAUUUAUCUAGAAAUGCUCCAGUGUUCAACACUUAAACAUUGUCAGCUAUAAUGUCAGAACAGAAGAAAAAUGGCAGAAGCUAUGCUGCAAUCAAUUCUCUGCUGGCAUAGCAUAUGUUAGUGACAUUAUAUGAGAGUCUUAUAUAAAAAUUGCCUUUCUGCCACAUGACUUAAGGAAUAUUUAUGUCAAGGAGAGCAGAAUCUGGAAGCUUCAAGCUGUUCCUUACCAUCCUUGUUUAUUGACUGCGUGGGCGUCAGUGCAGAAAAUGCAGGAGUGCCAUCUUCGUGUGAUCAGGAGGUGAAGUUGCUCAACUCAGGUUUCAUCUUCUAUAAUGCAGCAGAACUUUGCAGAAGUCCAUCUCCUUCUGAAAAGAGAAUGUGGCAUAUCAGUGGCGAUGCAAGUGAACAAAAUGGACUACAGUGUCUGAGGCUUGAUCAGGUCAGAGAAAGUGCAGCUUUUGUGAGCAAAGAGAAGUUCACGAGGACUUUGAAGAAAUUCUCAGUUGUGUCCAGGAAAAGCAUCCAGGAGGACUGUAAGCAUGACCCAGUAAGGUGCUGCCCAGCAGUAGAGGAUUCUGUGGCUUCUAUGAGAGUUAAAGGAGAAGAGAACUUUCACACCAGAGGGAACUCUCGCUAGCACAGUCUAUAAGAAGCAGAACAAAUCUUUCAAGAUAAGUUGUGAAUCACAAAUGGAUUUGACUGGGUAAGCUCCAGAGACUUGUAACAAGAUACAGAGCAUUUCACUCCUAGGACAUUAGUUUGAAAUUAGCCCAGGUGAACAGAGAGCAGGAGUCAUUUUCAGCUAAUGUCUGUCUGUUCAGCAGCCCACACAAAAUGAGUUGCUGGGAUUUAAUGCAUGCAGCUCCUUUGGGUCACACAGCCACUUUAUAGAAACCAACAUUAAUCAGUAGACACCUUGAAUUAUGAAUAUACAUAAACUAACUGUAGUAUGCAGAGUGAUGCCCAUGGGGAAGGAAUUGCCCUAAUUAAAUGCACACAGAGCAGACUCCAAAUGAUAUUUUGUUAUUCGGGAGAUAUUCUUUAUGUCAAAGUGGGCAGUUCUUUGAAAACAUGAGCUUGAACCACGCAGCUUGACAGCAAUCAAAAAGGCAAAGAUGCUUAAUUAUUACUCAGAGGUACACAGAAAACAGAAAGUACUGUUGUUUCACUGUAUGAAUCCACAUUAAACCCUCACCUGGAUUAUUAUUUCAUUCUCACAUUGCUCCAUCUUAAGAACCCUGGAGGUCUAGAAAAGUUCCUAGAAAAGAUAAGGGAGCAAUGAUGGUGGCAGUGAUUGAUAAUGAAGAAAGAUGAGUUAGAUAAUUAUUUCAUUUUGAAGAGGGUCAAUGAAGAAGCAUGAAAAACUACCAAACAGAUUGAAGAAGGAGAAUUAGCAUGUUUGUUUAUUUUUUUCCACAUAAGAACUAAGGGGCACUGAAUGAAUUUAUUAGCAGGUAUAAGAUAAACAGAUGUACUUUUUCAUGCUAUACAUGAUCAAAUUAAGAAAUACCUUGGCACAGGAUGUUACAAAACUCAAAUAUGUUUAGAAAGUGGUUAGUUAGGUUCAUGGAAGUGAAGGUCUACUGAGGAUUACUCACAACAUAGCUGCAGCUACUGGUGCUCAGUUGCCCAAAUAGCUGAUUCCAAGAAAUGCAUAACACCAGUAUGGGGGAAGCAUUUUUCUAUACUGACAUAAUUUUUCCAUUUUCCAAAAAUAACUUUCUUCUGGACAUCUACAAUUAUAUCUGCCAGGAGAGGCUAUGAGGCUGAAAGGUACAGUAAUUUCUAGUCCAUGUUAGAAGUCUUUCUUGUUUGUUUUGGACAUAUUCAUAAAAGCAAUAGGCAAUCAAUUGUUCCUUUUGUGGCAGAGGUGGUUAUAUAAUACACAGCAUGUGAUCAAAAUGAGUAUAGGAAGCAAAUUGUUCUUCCAGGGCAAGAUACCUCCUAGAGGUUUUUGUUUAUUUUGAAGGGGUGUUAAAUGCAACUGCUUUUUUAACAAUUAAUUCAAAAGCUCCAUACCAAUUGGUCUUGAAUAUGCACAGUGAGAAAUGUUUGAUGAAUUUAUUGGAAGAAUAACAUCAAGUUCAGGGGAAAAGUAUGUAUAAUACUUCAGAAAAAAAAGGAAAAGAAUGUUCAAGAUGUUUGUACUUUAUACAAAAAAGAUUCCUAAAUUGAACUGCCUGAGGUUUUUUUUUUGUUUGUUUGUUUGUUUGUUUUUUAAGAAAAUCCUGCUGUAUUUAAGUGUUCAUUUAAAAUUAUCAUCUGUUGAAUCUAGCUUACUCUAUUUUAGAGACAGGAAGUUCAUCCCCACGCUAAGAUUGUCCUCUACCAGGUAUUUGUUGGAAUUAUGUGUGAUGACUUCUUUUUUCUUAUGCUACAUUUUCAAAAUGAGAGUUGUUUAUUUAUUAUAGAGGUAUUUUCUAAACGUGAGGAACCAGGGAUAUAAAUAAACAUCAUAUGCAGGCUGCU